rnacentral:tRNA from 1 species
GCCCUCGUAGCUCAGAGGAUAGAGCAACGGUUUCCUAAACCGUAGGUCGUUGGUUCGAAUCCAAUCGAGGGUA